rnacentral:rRNA from 1 species
ACGAACGCUGGCGGCGUGCCUCAUACAUGCAAGUAGAACGCACAGUUUAUACCGUAGCUUGCUACACCAUAGACUGUGAGUUGCGAACGGGUGAGUAACGCGUAGGUAACCUGCCUGGUAGCGGGGGAUAACUAUUGGAAACGAUAGCUAAUACCGCAUAAUAUUAAUUAUUGCAUGAUAAUUAAUUGAAAGGUGCAAUUGCACCACUACCAGAUGGACCUGCGUUGUAUUAGCUAGUAGGUGAGGUAACGGCUCACCUAGGCGACGAUACAUAGCCGACCUGAGAGGGUGAUCGGCCACACUGGGACUGAGACACGGCCCAGACUCCUACGGGAGGCAGCAGUAGGGAAUCUUCGGCAAUGGACGAAAGUCUGACCGAGCAACGCCGCGUGAGUGAAGAAGGUUUUCGGAUCGUAAAGCUCUGUCGUAAGAGAAGAACGGGUGUGAGAGUGGAAAGUUCACACUGUGACGGUAUCUUACCAGAAAGGGACGGCUAACUACGUG